rnacentral:rRNA from 1 species
GCAUAUUUUAGAACUAAUAUCAAAAUAUUUAAAUCAAUAAUUUUACAAUCAAAUCCACUUUCAAAGAAAAAAUUCAUUUUCUUAUCCAUUUAAAUAAUUCUAUUGUAACCCAUUUUUACUUAUUUAUAAACUGCACCAUGAUCUGACUUCCUUUCACAAUAAAUUCUUGAAUAUUAUAAUUCUUAUAAAAUAUUCAAUCUACGAUGAUAUACAAAUUAAUAAAAUAAGUUAUAUUAAUCGUGGACUAUCAAUUAUAAAACAGGUUCCUCUGAAUAGAAUAAAAUACCGCCAAAUUUUUUAAUUUUAAAGAACUUAUCUAAUAAUAGUCUAGUAAAAUAAUUUUACAUCUCAA